UACGUAGGGGGCAAGCGUUGUCCGGAUUUAUUGGGCGUAAAGAGCGUGUAGGCGGCCAGGUAGGUCCGUUGUGAAAACUCGAGGCUCAACCUCGAGACGCCGAUGGAAACCAUCUGGCUAGAGUCCGGAAGAGGAGAAUGGAAUUCCCGGUGUAGCGGUGAAAUGCGCAGAUAUCGGGAAGAACACCCGUGGCGAAGGCGGUUCACUGGGACGGUAC
rnacentral:rRNA from 1 species